rnacentral:rRNA from 1 species
UACAGAGGUCUCAAGCGUUGUUCGGAUUCAUUGGGCGUAAAGGGUGCGUAGGUGGCGGGGUAAGUCUGGUGUGAAAUCUCGGGGCUUAACCCCGAAACUGCACUGGAUACUGCCUUGCUUGAGUACUGGAGAGGAGAGUGGAAUUCCCGGUGUAGCAGUGAAAUGCGUAGAGAUCGGGAGGAACAUCAGUUGCGAAGGCGGCUCUCUGGACCAGCACUGACACUGAGGCACGAAAGCGUGGGGAGCAAACAGG